UAGAGUUGAUAUGCUCAGACGACGCUGCGGCAUGCCUAACACAUGCAAGUCGAACGAUGCUUUCGGGCAUAGUGCGCACGGGUGCGUAACGCGUGGGAAUCUGCCUUAGGUUCGGAAUAACAGUUAGAAAUGACUGCUAAUACCGGAUGAUGUCGUAAGACCAAAGAUUUAUCGCCCAGGGAUGAGCCCGCGUAAGAUUAGGUAGUUGGUGAGGUAAAGGCUCACCAAGCCGACGAUCUUUAGCUGGUCUGAGAGGAUGAUCAGCCACACUGGGACUGAGACACGGCCCAGACUCCUACGGGAGGCAGCAGUGGGGAAUAUUGGACAAUGGGCGAAAGCCUGAUCCAGCAAUGCCGCGUGAGUGAUGAAGGCCUUAGGGUUGUAAAGCUCUUUUACCCGGGAUGAUAAUGACAGUACCGGGAGAAUAAGCUCCGGCUAACUCCGUGCCAGCAGCCGCGGUAAU
rnacentral:rRNA from 1 species